rnacentral:rRNA from 1 species
CACACUGUAAACGAUGAUAACUCGCUGCCGGCGAUACAUUGUUGGUGGCCAAGCGAAAGCAUUAAGUUAUCCACCUGGGGAGUACGACCGCAAGGUUGAAACUCAAAGGAAUUGACGGGGGCCCGCACAAGCAGUGGAGUAUGUGGUUUAAUUCGAAGCAACGCGAAGAACCUUACCAGGGCUUGACAUCCUCGGACGACACUAGAGAUAGUGUUUUCUCUUCGGAGACUGAGAGACAGGUGG